UACAGAGACUGCAAGCGUUAUUCGGAUUCACUGGGCGUAAAGGGUGCGCAGGUGGCCGUGUGUGUCAGAUGUGAAAUCCCGGGGCUUAACUCCGGAACUGCGUCUGAAACUACACGGCUAGAGCAUUGGAGAGGGUAGUGGAAUUCACGGUGUAGCAGUGAAAUGCGUAGAUAUCGUGAGGAACACCAGAGGCGAAGGCGACUACCUGGACAAUAGCUGACACUCAGGCACGAAAA
rnacentral:rRNA from 1 species